rnacentral:lncRNA from 1 species
UAUGGGUCUGAUACAGUCUAAUUGUAUCUGAUUUAGUUUUACCUAUAAUCUUGCUUUACCUACCUAUGCUACAUGCCUGUAUUGGAUGAAUUUUUAGCAUGGAAAAAACAUUUAGGCCUUAUCAAGAAUGUUUAUUGAGUAGCAAAACUUUUGGUAAAUAAAUUAAACUGAAAAUAAUGCUUUGUUGAAAGUUUUAUAAAUUAAAUCACUAAUAGUGUAACUGCUCGCAAUUGAAAUCUCCAUUAUAACAGUUAUGCCCAGAGUGCCUUGUCUAUGGUAGUCAUUGUGAUUGUUUACUUGUACAUGUAUGGUCUGAGACGAUUCCUCAUGAUUUAUGCAUUGAAGUUCCACAGUCAUUAAUCAUGUAGUCUAAGUAUUAUUUGCUACAUGGUAUUAUAAUGUUUAGUAAAGCUGCAUAAUGCAUGUUGUAAUGUUACUAUAGGUUCAUAACACAAAAUUAUUCCCUUUUUAAAAAUACAUGUAUCCAUUGCCUCAUUUUUGUGUUCCUUAAUUGACACCUAUUUUGUAUAUCUUUGUCUCUUGAUGUCUCUUUCUCUCUUUUGCUUUUCUCUCCUCCUCAUGUAUAUGUAUACUGUAUGUCUAACUCUUGCUCUUUCUUUUUUCUUCUCUAGGUAUACCUCUCAGUCUCACAUGUCUUCACUCUUUCUCGCAUUAGCGCAAGCAUAACUGCAUUGUCUGUUGAGGUCCCAUCAAAUGCACUUGCUGAAAUAUCUGGCAAAUAUUGUGGGAACAGAAACACAUGCUAACAAACGUUGUGGAGAAUGGAAAGACAAAUACUUACCAAUUAAUGAUAAAAGAAAUGCCUAAUUUGAAGAAUGAAUUACACUUAUUUUCAUAAUCAAGAAGCAGAUGUGUCAAGAUGAACUCAAACAAUGGAA